AAUGAACGUUGGCGGCGUGGAUUAGGCAUGCAAGUCGCGCGAGAAAUGUAGCAAUACAUGGAAAGCGGCGAAAGGGAGAGUAAUACAUAGGUACGUACCCUUGGGACUGGGAUAGCGGCGGGAAACCGCCGGUAAUACCAGAUGACGUUUCCGAACCAAAGGUGUGAAUCCGCCUGAGGAGCGGCCUAUGUCCUAUUAGCUUGUUGGGGAGGUAACGGCUCACCAAGGCAAAGAUGGGUAUGGGGUGUGAGAGCAUGCCCCCACUCACUGGGACUGAGACACUGCCCCGACACCUACGGGUGGCUGCAGUCGAGAAUCUUCGGCAAUGGACGCAAGUCUGACCGAGCGACGCCGCGUGCGGGAUGAAGUCCUUCGGGUUGUAAACCGCUGUCGUAGGGGAGGAAAUUCUGGUGGGUACUCCCAUCAGAUUGACUGAUCCUAGGAGGAAGGACCGGCUAAUCUCGUGCCAGCCGCCGCCGUAA
rnacentral:rRNA from 1 species